UCGGUCGAGGCCGGGGCAUAUGGAAGUGGAGCUGCAGCAGAUGGGCGGGAGUCCCACAGGCGGGUCCAGAUGACUAAUGAAUAAUGAACAAUGGAGAGGAAACUGCUCUGUCGUAUAUAUAAACGGGAGGGUGUGAUGUUUCGAGAAAGUUUCAUGGCAGUGCUGAAGUGACUGAAUCACUUUUCCAGAGAGAAGGAAGAGAGAUGAGUCUGGAGUUCCUUACAAUCAUCAACACUCUGGAGAAGAGGAGCGACGCGGCGGAGAGACUGAAGAACAAGAAGAAGACCAGUCGCCUGACCUGCGGCGAGCCGGCGGGAGUGUAGUCCACGGCCGACGAUCGUCUCUUCUUCUGCACAAAGAUGG